rnacentral:ncRNA from 2 species
CACAUUGUCGGCGCCGAUUUGCCUGAUCCGCUUGCGGGCGCCUCUUAUAAAUCCAGCUAAAGAGGUCUGCAAUGACCAGUC